UACGUAGGGUGCGAGCGUUGUCCGGAAUUAUUGGGCGUAAAGGGCUCGUAGGCGGUCUGUUGCGUCGGGAGUGAAAACUCAGGGCUUAACCCUGAGCCUGCUUCCGAUACGGGCAGACUGGAGGUAUGCAGGGGAGAACGGAAUUCCUGGUGUAGCGGUGAAAUGCGCAGAUAUCAGGAGGAACACCGGUGGCGAAGGCGGUUCUCUGGGCAUGUCCUGACGCUGAGGAGCGAAAGUGUGGGGAGCGAACAGG
rnacentral:rRNA from 1 species